rnacentral:sRNA from 1 species
AUGCCAGGGUUGAAAAGUCAAAAUGUCGUUCUUGCUUGCAAGAUAAGACAUUUGAGUUUGAAACCCGCUAAACAUGAGGAAGCAGCUACUUACGCAGUAAGUAUGCGGAUUCCGAAUGUUUGCAGAAUUGUGAGAGUACGAAGUACGGAACAAUUCGC